rnacentral:lncRNA from 1 species
UGAAUCAAAGUGGGGUUGGAGCUGGUUUUGUAUCUUCCUCGAGAGAUUUUGGAUGCGUGGGAAUGAAUUCCGAAGAUAAAUGAGUAUUUCGGCGCAAAUUGGGCGCGAAACGACUUCGAAGGAAAAUUAUCGGACUAUGAGGUUCCUGUUGAUUAAAGUGAGCAAAAUAAUAUAAAAUUAAGUGUGAAUAAAAAUGAUGUGAGAUACUAUUUUUAUUGGACUUACGGGUGUAAAAUAUAAGUCUGGAAUGACUCGUGUUGAAAUCGGAGCGAAAACAGAAGAUUUAGAAUUUUCUGUAAAGAACGGGACUGAUAUUUUAGCAGAAAAUGCACGGUGUCAGAAAAUUAUGAAAACUGGAGGAUAUGUCAGGAUUAUUUUUAGGAGGAUAGAUUUAAAGUUUCAUG